GGAACGGUAGUUCAGUUGGUUAGAAUGCCGGCCUGUUGUGCCGGGGGGGAGGAUUCGAAUUCCGACCGUUCCG
rnacentral:tRNA from 1 species